UGGGGAAUUUUGGACAAUGGGCGAAAGCCUGAUCCAGCAAUGCCGCGUGUGUGAAGAAGGCCUUCGGGUUGUAAAGCACUUUUGUCCGGAAAGAAAUCCUUGGCUCUAAUACAGUCGGGGGAUGACGGUACCGGAAGAAUAAGCACCGGCUAACUACGUGCCAGCAGCCGCGGUAAUACGUAGGGUGCAAGCGUUAAUCGGAAUUACUGGGCGUAAAGCGUGCGCAGGCGGUUUGCUAAGACCGAUGUGAAAUCCCCGGGGCUCAACCUGGGAACUGCAUUGGUGACUGGCAGGCUAGAGUAUGGCAGAGGGGGGUAGAAUUCCACGUGUAGCAGUGAAAUGCGUAGAGAUGUGGAGGAAUACCGAUGGCGAAGGCAGCCCCCUGGGCCAAAUACUGACGCUCAUGCACGAAAGCGUGGGGAGCAAACAGGAUUAGAUACCCUGGUAGUCCACGCCCUAAAACGAUGUCAACUAGUUGUUGGGGAUUCAUUUCCUUAGUAACGUAGCUAACGCGUGAAGUUGACCGCCUGGGGAGUACGGUCGCAAGAUUAAAACUUAAAUGAAUUGACGGGGUCAUAGCUGUUUCCU
rnacentral:rRNA from 1 species